GCCUGCCUAGCUCAAUCGGAUAGAGCAUCAGACUCUUACAAUGUUAGGCAAUUGGUGUGGGUAUCUGAAGGCUGUGAGUUCAACCCUCGCAGUGGGCU